rnacentral:rRNA from 1 species
AGUGAACGCUGGCGGCAGGCCUAACACAUGCAAGUCGAGCGGCAGCACGGGUAGCAAUACCUGGUGGCGAGCGGCGGACGGGUGAGGAAUACAUCGGAAUCUGCCUUGUUGUGGGGGAGUAACGUAGGGAAACGUUACGCUAAUACCGCAUAAGACCGAGAGGUGAAAGCGGGGGAGUCGAAAGACCUCGCGCGACAAGAUGAGCCGAUGUCGGAUUAGCUAGUUGGCGGGGAAAGGCCCACCAAGGCGACGAUCCGUAGCUGGUCUGAGAGGAUGAUCAGCCACACUGGAACUGAGACACGGUCCAGACUCCUACGGGAGGCAGCAGUGGGGAAUAUUGGACAAUGGGCGCAAGCCUGAUCCAGCCA